rnacentral:rRNA from 1 species
AGUGAACGCUGGCGGUAGGCCUAACACAUGCAAGUCGAACGGCAGCACAGUAAGAGCUUGCUCUUACGGGUGGCGAGUGGCGGACGGGUGAGGAAUACAUCGGGAUCUACUUUUUCGUGGGGGAUAACGUAGGGAAACUUACGCUAAUACCGCAUACGACCUACGGGUGAAAGCAGGAGAUCUUCGGACCUUGCGCGAUUGAAUGAGCCGAUGUCGGAUUAGCUAGUUGGCGGGGUAAAGGCCCACCAAGGCGACGAUCCGUAGCUGGUCUGAGAGGAUGAUCAGCCACACUGGAACUGAGACACGGUCCAGACUCCUACGGGAGGCAGCAGUGGGGAAUAUUGGACAAAGGGCGCAAGCCUGAUCCAGCCAUACCGCGUGGGUGAAGAAGGCCUUCGGGUUGUAAAGCCCUUUUGUUGGGAAAGAAAAGCAGCAGGUUAAUACCCCGCUGUUCUGACGGUACCCAAAGAAUAAGCACCGGCUAACUUCGUG